rnacentral:rRNA from 1 species
GAUGAACGCUGGCGGCGUGCUUAACACAUGCAAGUCGAACGGAAAGGCCCUUGCUUGCAAGGGUGCUCGAGUGGCGAACGGGUGAGUAACACGUAGGUGAUCUGCCUUUCACUUCGGGAUAAGCUUGGGAAACUGGGUCUAAUACCGGAUAUUCACGGCACCGUGGUUGGUGUGGUGGAAAGCUUUUGCGGUGGGAGAUGAGCUUGCGGCCUAUCAGCUUGUUGGUGGGGUAAUGGCCUACCAAGGCGGCGACGGGUAGCCGGCCUGAGAGGGUGUGCGGCCACAUUGGGACUGAGAUACGGCCCAG